rnacentral:rRNA from 1 species
CUGCCCGCCACUUGGGGAUAACCUUGCGAAAGUAAGACUAAUACCCAAUGAUAUCUCUAGAAGACAUCUGAAAGAGAUUAAAGAUUUAUCGGUGAUGGAUGGGGAUGCGUCUGAUUAGCUUGUUGGCGGGGCAACGGCCCACCAAGGCAACGAUCAGUAGGGGUUCUGAGAGGAAGGUCCCCCACAUUGGAACUGAGACACGGACCAAACUCCUACGGGAGGCAGCAGUGAGGAAUAUUGGUCAAUGGACGAGAGUCUGAACCAGCCAAGUAGCGUGCAGGAUGACGGCCCUAUGGGUUGUAAACUGCUUUUAUAAGGGAAUAAAGUGAGUCUCGUGAGACUUUUUGCAUGUACCUUAUGAAUAAGGACCGGCUAAUUCCGUGCCAGCAGCCGCGGUAAUACGGAAGGUCCGGGCGUUAUCCGGAUUUAUUGGGUUUAAAGGGAGCGUAGGCCGGAGAUUAAGCGUGUUGUGAAAUGUAGACGCUCAACGUCUGCACUGCAGCGCGAACUGGUUUCCUUGAGUACGCACAAAGUGGGCGGAAUUCGUGGUGUAGCGGUGAAAUGCUUAGAUAUCACGAAGAACUCCGAUUGCGAAGGCAGCUCACUGGAGCGCAACUGACGCUGAAGCUCGAAAGUGCGGGUAUCGAACAGGAUUAGAUACCCUGGUAGUCCGCACGGUAAACGAUGGAUGCCCGCUGAUGGUUUGAAUAGGUCU